CCCUUAGAUGUCCUGGGCUGCACGCGCGCUACACUGAUGUGUCCAGUAAGCACCUAACCUCUUCCGAAAGGAACGGGUAACCUUUGCAAAGCACAUCGUGAUGGGGAUAGAUUAUUGCAAUUAUUAGUCUUGAACGAGGAAUUCCUAGUAAGCACAAGUCAUCAGCUUGUGUUGAUUACGUCCCUGCCCUUUGUACACACCGCCCGUCGCUCCUACCGAUUGAAUGUUCCGGUGAGCUCUUCGGACUGCGCGGUCUGCAGUUUCUGCGUUCCGUGCGGAAAGUUGUGCAAACCUUAACAUUUAGAGGAAGGAGAAGUCGUAACA
rnacentral:rRNA from 1 species